CCACCCCCGCCGUCGUCGUCCGGCCAUCCCCACCGGUUGAAGAAGAAACUGGUAUUAAGCUAAACUUGGAGGACAUUGUUGAUCUUACUGCACUACUGUACCCUGACACUGGAUGCAGGAUGCUUCCUUCACCUGUUUACUGAAUUUGGAGGAACCAUCCGUCAAAGACCAGUUGAAGAAAUAAACUGAGUAGCAUAGACUAAUUGAAGAUCUCGCAUUUGGUGUUGCUCGCUUUGUACAGAAGGGCGGUUCUUUUAUCAACUACUACAUGGUAUGACAGAUAAAGGUUCACUUGUGUUUAGCUUCCCAAAGGCUGAUACUGAUUCUGGUUGUUUAAUUGAUUUUCAACUUUAAAAGUAUCAUGGAGGAACAAGUGGUUUUCAUGAUUUUGCAUUAAAGCAUGUUCUUUUAUUAUUAUUAAUGGAUCAAAUGAUCCUAUCAUUGAUUCUUCGAGGGCAGGGAUGUUACAAAGCUUAUAUUAAUGAUAACCCUAUUGGAUCAAAAGUUUGGUUAGCAUGACACAUUUUCUGUUUUGCUUACUUGCAUGCA